rnacentral:lncRNA from 1 species
UAGAUUUAAAGUGGACUCAUUCCAAUUACAGGGCCUCGAAAGAGUCCUGUAUUGUUAUUUUUCGUCACUACCUCCCCGGGUCGGGAGUGGGUAAUUUGCGCGCCUGCUGCCUUCCUUGGAUGUGGUAGCCGUUUCUCAGGCUCCCUCUCCGGAAUCGAACCCUGAUUCCCCGUCACCCGUGGUCACCAUGGUAGGCACGGCGACUACCAUCGAAAGUUGAUAGGGCAGACGUUCGAAUGGGUCGUCGCCGCCACGGGGGGCGUGCGAUCAGCCCGAGGUUAUCUAGAGUCACCAAAGCCGCCGGCGCCCGCCCCCCGGCCGGGGCCGGAGAGGGGCUGACCGGGUUGGUUUUGAUCUGAUAAAUGCACGCAUCCCCCCCGCGAAGGGGGUCAGCGCCCGUCGGCAUGUAUUAGCUCUAGAAUUACCACAGUUAUCCAAGUAGGAGAGGAGCGAGCGACCAAAGGAACCAUAACUGAUUUAAUGAGCCAUUCGCAGUUUCACUGUACCGGCCGUGCGUACUUAGACAUGCAUGGCUUAAUCUUUGAGACAAGCAUAUGCUACUGGCAGGAUCAACCAGGACGGG